rnacentral:rRNA from 1 species
AAUGUCGACCGCAGGGUCAUUUUUGUCGGUAUUGACAUGUAGAAUGAGACUCUAUCUUUAUUUUGUUCACAUCUGAUUAAUCAGUUCUUCAAAAGAUCUAUCAGACUAUGUAUGAUGGAGUAAAUAAUUUGAUCAAUGAAUAUUCGAUUCUUUUUUCAACUGGAGAUGUUGGAAUCGAUUCAUUACAAUUCGUUCAUUUUUAUAUAUCAUUUUUUAUAUAUAAAUAUAAAAAAAUAAAGACUCAAUAGGUCGUUGGUCAGGUAAAGGCUGACCAACCCAAUGAUGCUUAGCUGGUCUUUUUGGAUGAUCAGCCACACUGGGAUAGAGACACGGCCUGUACUCGCACGAGGGGGCAGCAGUGGGGAAUCUUGGACAAUGGGCGAAAGCCCGAUCAAGCAAUAUCGCAUGAGUGAAGAAGGGCAAUGUCGCUUGUAAAGCUCUUUUAUCGAGUGCGAGAUCAUGACAAGACUCGAGGAAGAAGCCCCGCUAACUCCGUGUCAGCAUCUGCAGUAAGACCAGGGGGGAGGGCAAGUGUUCUUCGAAAUGACUGGGCGUAAAGGGUACAUAGGCGGUGAAUCAGGUUGAAAGUGAAAGUCGCCCAAAACUGGUGGAAUGCUCUCGAAAUCCAUUCACUUGAGAGUGGAAUUUUGUGUGUAGGGGUGAAAUCCAGAGAUCUACGAAGGAACGCCAAAAGCGAAGGUAGCUCUCUAGGUCCCUACCGACGCUGGGGUGCAAAAGCAAGGGGAACGAACGGGAUUAGAUACCCAAGUAGUCCAUGCCGUAAACGAUGAGUGUUCACCCUUGGUCUACAUGGAUGAGGGGCCUAGCUAACGCAUGAAACACUCCUCCUGAGGAGUACGAUCACAAGACCGAAACUCAAACGAAUUGACAGGGCCCUGCACAAGCAGUGGAGCAUGUGCUUUAAUUCGAUACAACGCACAAAACCUUACCAGCCCUUGACAUAUGAACAACAAAACCUGUCCUUCACAAGAUGGUACUGACUUUCAUACAGGUGCUACAUGGCUGUUGUCAGCUCGUGUCGUGAUAUGUUUGGUGAAGUUCUAUAACGAACGAAACCCUUCUUUUGUGUUGCUGAGACAUGCGACUAAGGAGAAAGUCUUUGCAAUCGAAGUUCGCCAAGGAGCCGAGUGAUCUGCCAGCGAGACUAAUUGAGUGCCAGCACAUAGCAGUGCUGUCAAUAAGAAGGGAGCCUUAUCCUUCGAACAAAGCACUUUCGAGUGUGCGCUUGAGUUUUCUUGCUGCUAGUGUGCUUUACUAAAAAGACUUGGCAUUCAGACGAGCCACUUGGUUGUGUGGUACAA